UACGUAGGGUGCGAGCGUUGUCCGGAAUUAUUGGGCGUAAAGGGCUCGUAGGCGGUUUGUCGCGUCGGGAGUGAAAACCUCGGGCUUAACUCGGGGCUUGCUUUCGAUACGGGCAGACUGGAGGUAUGCAGGGGAGAACGGAAUUCCUGGUGUAGCGGUGAAAUGCGCAGAUAUCAGGAGGAACACCGGUGGCGAAGGCGGUUCUCUGGGCAUUACCUGACGCUGAGGAGCGAAAGUGUGGGGAGCGAACAGG
rnacentral:rRNA from 1 species